UUUCCAAGGGUGUGAAAAGAUAAGAACCAUGGGCUUAAGGUGUGGACCCAAAAGAGAUAUUUGAGAAGGGGAGUCUUACGUGUUUAUUUCUCGUUUCAAAAGCUAACAUCAUCGCCCCUUAACCUCGUGGUCGGAACACCACCCUCCGCCGCACCGGAAAUCGCCUAUGGCGGAGGCGGGAGAGCCAAACACUAUAAAACCUAUAUCAUUUGUCUUGUUCCAAAGUCAUCUAUCCGACUUCACCAUCAAUUUCAUCUAAUUCCUAACCAAUCAACCAAAUCGAGCCUAAUGUCACAAGAACCCUAAAUCAAUCUUCCAGAAAUAAAACGCAAGGGAAAGGAAGUUGAUGCCAACUCAUUUAGGGAUUCAAUUCCCUAGGCUAAGGUCUACAUCUUGGCAACAAGUUGAAGAUGAACUGAAGGAGAAAUGCAAAAGAGCUUAUUGGGCCGGAGUAGCUCUGACGUCUCUUCAAAGCGAUUGACGAUAAGCUCGAAUAUUCAAACUCCUAUGUUACUUCAGGCCCAAAGGGAAUUUAACAUGGCAUGGCAGGUGGAUAGGUGGAGCAUGGAAGAAUCAUUAGGUUAAGGCUGCCAUUCAAAGCAAGAUGCCUUCUUUUUCCUUUUGAUCAAAACCAUGUAACCAUGUAACCAUGUGAUCCCAUGUGAUGGGAUAGGAUGUAGCAUGGUGCUAUGAUGUAAUAACAUUUAUGGAUGGAUUAGUUCAUUUAUAAAUGAUCCAUGCACCAUUGAUGCUUAUAAUGAAGUAUGCUCAUGGAUAUGCGUUAAUGAAAAACAAUGUUUAUGGAUUUACUUA